rnacentral:misc_RNA from 1 species
GAUGAAGAACGUAGCGAAAUGCGAUAAGUAAUGUGAAUUGCAGAAUUCAGUGAAUCAUCGAAUCUUUGAACGCACAUUGCGCCCUCUGGUAUUCCGGGGGGCAUGCCUGUUCGAGCGUCAUUAUAACCACUCAAGCUCUCGCUUGGUAUUGGGGUUCGCGGUUUCGCGGCCCCUAAAAUCAGUGGCGGUGCCUGUCGGCUCUACGCGUAGUAAUACUUCUCGCGAUUGAGUUCGAUAGGUCUACUUGCCAGUAACCCCCAAUUUUUACAGGUUGACCUCGGAUCAGGUAGGGAUACCCGCUGAACUUAAGCAUAUCAAUAAGCGGAGGA